rnacentral:rRNA from 1 species
UGAACAUCGACAUUUCGAACGCACAUUGCGGUCCGUGGAGAAAUAUCCAGGACCACUCCUGUCUGAGGGCCGGCUGUUAAAAUAUAAAAAUCACACUGUUCACAAUUAAAAUUAAUUGUGAAGAAUUGACGGGUUCCGUUAUGAUUUCGUUUUAAACGACGUUCUCACACGGUCCGUUUAAAUAUAAUUCGAUAACCGAUCGUCUAUAUAGUAUGCGUAUAUAAUUGAAACGCGUUACAACAACACAAAACGAUCGGGCGUCCCUCGGACGCGCGACUCUUCGACGUAAAAAAUCGACAGAGGGCAUGCGCGUCUUUAGACGGUGACGUUUACCGUAUCGUUGUUGUAGUAACGUAUAUAUACAUAUAUAAAUAGACAUAUUCGGGUAGGCGGACUCGACGUCCGAAGAGCGCAUCGAUGCUACGUUGCUCUCUCGUUUAUCAACGAGACGAGUCAACGGAGUGUCCUUGAGCUGACGGAUAU